rnacentral:ncRNA from 1 species
CUACGGACUUAAUUGGAUUGAGCCUUGGUAUGGAAACUUACCAGGUGAAAACUUUCAAAUUCAGAGAAACCCUGGAAUUAAAAAUGGGCAAUCCUGAGCCAAAUCCUUCUUUCCGAAAACAAAUAAAUAAAAGUUUAGAAAGUGAAAAUCAAAAAAGGAUAGGUGCAGAGACUCAAUGGAAGCUGUUCUAACAAAUGGAGUUGACAACAUUUACUCUUUCAAUAGAAUAAUCUUGAUUGAUCAAAUCAGUCACUCCACCAUAGUCUGAUGGAUCUUUUGAAUAACUGAUUAAUCAGACGAGAAUAAAGAUAGAGUCCCAUUCUACAUGUCAAUACCGACAUCAAUGAAAUUUUUAGUAAGAGGAAAAUCCGUCGACUUUAGAAAUCAUGAGGGUUCAAGUCCCUCUAUCCCCAAAAGCCCAUUUAAUUCGCUAAUUUUUUAUCCUAUAUCCCUUUUUUUUUAUUUAGUUGACAUAGACUCAAGUAAUUUCCUAAAAUUAGGGUGGUGUGUCAAGAAUGGUCGGGAUAGCUCAGCUGGUAGAGCAGAGGACUGAAAAUCCUCGUGUCACCAGUUCAAAUCUGGUUCCCGGCGA